GUCCAGGAGCGGGAAUCGAACCCACAACCUUCUGCUUACCGGCCACUAGGCUAUCCUGGA
rnacentral:tRNA from 1 species